UCUUAAUGCAAUUGGUUUUCGAAAGCUCUCCUCCUCCUCCUCCUCCCCACCCAGCCUGAUGGGGUUAAACACCUCUGAGGAGGCUGGAGGAAGGAAUGUUUUUAAUCUCCCCGAUUUAUUAAAAUCGUCUAAAGAUAGCCAGCUGCAACAGAUAAAACUGCUGCCCUCUGCACUUCAGAAAGAUCCUCCCUGAAUCCGCUCUGCGCAGAAAACAUUGGCAAUGGCUUAGUGACCUGAGGGACAUGGUGGUACCUGCCUGCCUGUCAAUGGCCAGGGCUGAAUUUGGCCAAAUUUCCAGCAGGGCUGCCUUCUCCUGGCUCGUGCAUCCCCCUCACUGCUUUGCUCAUGGAGAGAGAUAUCGAGGGGGCAGUGGAGUUGCACUCUCAGGACCACCGGAUGAGCUGUGGCCAAUGCAGUGCUGCAAAACCCCUUCCUUCAAGCUUUCUGUCCCAGGCCGGAGGACGAGCCAAAAGCAGCAUCUGAAUUCCUGCCCUGCACCUCUCCUGCCACGUAACAAAUGGACCCACCGGAGACAAAAGACAGCGUCAAGAGUAAUUGAAUGGACGUGGCAGGCAGACCCAGCAGUGCUCUUAUCAGCUGGGGGAGGCAGAGCAGAUCCGAGGAGCAGAACAGGCCAGAGAAUGGACCCAAUAUGUUUUUUUUGUCCUCUGAGGGCUUCCAAAGAAGAUAAAAUAUGUAUUCUGCUUGGUGAUUAUGGAGACAAGCUCACCAUGGUCACUCUUCCCCAGUCAGUAACCUCUCUGACACAGAAUCAUAGAAUAAUUUGGGUUGAAAAAGGCUUCAUCUAUCUCAGCCAGUACAUCUUUGUGUCUCUGUUACAAGAUGGCUUUCAUUCUCCAUGGUGAUCCAUAGAAGUCACUGGUUCUGGCACAGCUGUUUUGGAUACCCUUUUGUGGUCUCAUGCCCCCAUCUUCCUCCUCCUAUGGGUUAAUGUUGAAUUGCAGCCUGUGCUAUACCCAUGUCCCACCAACCUAGAUGAUUUUUUCAAGACACAAAAACUAUGCUACGGGGCUGAGAGGCAAAAAGAGGCUGUGAAACCACUUCUCCAAAUAAAAUCCAUCCAUGUUUAAAAGAACCUGGCCUU
rnacentral:lncRNA from 1 species